GCCUGAUGCAGCAACGCCGCGUGCGGGAUGACGGCCUUCGGGUUGUAAACCGCUUUUAGUAGGGAAGAAGGGCUUCGGCUUGACGGUACCUGCAGAAAAAGGACCGGCUAACUACGUGCCAGCAGCCGCGGUAAUACGUAGGGUCCGAGCGUUGUCCGGAAUUAUUGGGCGUAAAGAGCUCGUAGGCGGUUUGUCGCGUCUGCUGUGAAAUCUGGAGGCUCAACCUCCAGCCUGCAGUGGGUACGGGCAGACUAGAGUGCGGUAGGGGAGAAUGGAAUUCCUGGUGUAGCGGUGGAAUGCGCAGAUAUCAGGAGGAACACCGAUGGCGAAGGCAGUUCUCUGGGCCGUAACUGACGCUGAGGAGCGAAAGCGUGGGGAGCGAACAGGAUUAGAUACCCUGGUAGUCCACGCCGUAAACGUUGGGCGCUAGAUGUGGGGACCUUUCCACGGUUUCCGUGUCGUAGCUAACGCAUUAAGCGCCCCGCCUGGGGAGUACGGCCGCAAGGCUAAAACUCAAAGGAAUUGACGGGGGCCCGCACAAGCGGCGGAGCAUGCGGAUUAAUUCGAUGCAACGCGAAGAACCUUACCAAGGCUUGACAUAACCGAGAACGCCCUAGAAAUAGGGAACUC
rnacentral:rRNA from 2 species